rnacentral:rRNA from 1 species
GCUCUCCCCCUUUCCCCUUCUGGCAACAGCGAUAAGGGAACCUCGAGUGCCAGGUUACAAAUCUGGCUGUCGAGAUGCCUAAAAAGCAUUUCAUAGCAAGGGCCGGGCAAGACCGGUGCCAGCCGCCGCGGUAACACCGGCGGCUCGAGUGGUAACCGUUAUUAUUGGGUCUAAAGGGUCUGUAGCCGGCCGGAUAAGUCUCUUGAGAAAUCUGGCAGCUUAACUGUCAGGCGCUCAGGAGAUACUGUCUGGCUCGAGGCCGGGAGAGGUGAGAGGUACUUCAGGGGUAGGGGUGAAAUCUUGUAAUCCUUGAAGGACCACCAGUGGCGAAGGCGUCUCACCAGAACGGACCUGACGGCAAGGGGCGAAAGCUAGGGGCACGAACC